rnacentral:rRNA from 1 species
UACGUAGGGCGCAAGCGUUAUCCGGAAUUAUUGGGCGUAAAGAGCUCGUAGGCGGUUUGUCGCGUCUGCCGUGAAAGUCCGGGGCUCAACUCCGGAUCUGCGGUGGGUACGGGCAGACUAGAGUGAUGUAGGGGAGACUGGAAUUCCUGGUGUAGCGGUGAAAUGCGCAGAUAUCAGGAGGAACACCGAUGGCGAAGGCAGGUCUCUGGGCCUUACCUGACGCUCAGGUGCGAAAGCUAGGGGAGCGAACAGG